rnacentral:rRNA from 1 species
GAUCAUGGCUCAGGAUGAACGCUAGCUACAGGCUUAACACAUGCAAGUCGAGGGGCAGCAUGAACUUAGCUUGCUAAGUUUGAUGGCGACCGGCGCACGGGUGAGUAACACGUAUCCAACCUUCCGUUUACUCAGGGAUAGCCUUUCGAAAGAAAGAUUAAUACCUGAUAGUAUGGUGAGAUUGCAUGAUAACACCAUUAAAGAUUUAUUGGUAAACGAUGGGGAUGCGUUCCAUUAGGUAGUAGGCGGGGUAACGGCCCACCUAGCCUGCGAUGGAUAGGGGUUCUGAGAGGAAGGUCCCCCACAUUGGAACUGAGACACGGUCCAAACUCCUACGGGAGGCAGCAGUGAGGAAUAUUGGUCAAUGGGCGAGAGCCUGAACCAGCCAAGUAGCGUGAAGGAUGAAGGUCCUACGGAUUGUAAACUUCUUUUAUACGGGAAUAAAGUUUCCUACGUGUAGGAUUUUGUAUGUACCGUAUGAAUAAGCAUCGGCUAACUCCGUG